rnacentral:rRNA from 1 species
ACCUAGUAGUAUGGGAUAGCCACUAGAAAUGGUGGGUAAUACUGUAUAAUCCCUGCGGGGGAAAGAUUUAUCGCUAUUAGAUGAGCCUAUGUCAGAUUAGCUAGUUGGUGGGGUAAUGGCCUACCAAGGCGGUGAUCUGUAGCUGGUCUGAGAGGAUGAUCAGCCACACUGGAACUGAGACACGGUCCAGACUCCUACGGGAGGCAGCAGUGGGGAAUAUUGGACAAUGGGCGCAAGCCUGAUCCAGCUAUGCCGCGUGAGUGAGGAAGGCCUUAGGGUUGUAAAACUCUUUCAGUAGGGAAGAUAAUGACGGUACCUACAGAAGAAGUCCCGGCAAACUCCGUGCCAGCAGCCGCGGUAAUACGGAGGGGGCAAGCGUUGUUCGGAAUUAUUGGGCGUAAAGGGCAUGUAGGCGGUUUGGUAAGUUAAAGGUGAAAUACCAGGGCUUAACCCUGGGGCUGCUUUUAAUACUGCAGGACUAGAGUCCGGAAGAGGAUA